CGUGCCCAAUCGUGGGGGAUAACGCAGCGAAAGCUGUGCUAAUACCGCAUACGAUCUACGGAUGAAAGCAGGGGACCGUAAGGCCUUGCGCGAAUGGAGCGGCCGAUGGCAGACUAGGUAGUUGGUGAGGUAAAGGCUCACCAAGCCUUCGAUCUGUAGCUGGUCUGAGAGGACGACCAGCCACACUGGGACUGAGACACGGCCCAGACUCCUACGGGAGGCAGCAGUGGGGAAUUUUGGACAAUGGGCGAAAGCCUGAUCCAGCAAUGCCGC
rnacentral:rRNA from 1 species